rnacentral:rRNA from 1 species
AUUGAACGCUGGCGGCAGGCCUAACACAUGCAAGUCGAACGGUAACAGGAAGAAGCUUGCUUCUUUGCUGACGAGUGGCGGACGGGUGAGUAAUGUCUGGGAAACUGCCUGAUGGAGGGGGAUAACUACUGGAAACGGUAGCUAAUACCGCAUAACGUCGCAAGACCAAAGAGGGGGACCUUCGGGCCUCUUGCCAUCGGAUGUGCCCAGAUGGGAUUAGCUAGUAGGUGGGGUAACGGCUCACCUAGGCGACGAUCCCUAGCUGGUCUGAGAGGAUGACCAGCCACACUGGAACUGAGACACGGUCCAGACUCCUACGGGAGGCAGCAGUGGGGAAUAUUGCACAAUGGGCGCAAGCCUGAUGCAGCCAUGCCGCGUGUAUGAAGAAGGCCUUCGGGUUGUAAAGUACUUUCAGCGGGGAGGAAGGGAGUAAAGUUAAUACCUUUGCUCAUUGACGUUACCCGCAGAAGAAGCACCGGCUAACUCCGG